GUCUACGGCCAUACCACCCUAAACGCUCCCGAUCUCGUCUGAUCUCAGAAGCUAAGCAGGGUCGAGCCUGGUUAGUACUUGGAUGGGAGAAAGCAUUCACUCAAUAUUUUAGGUAAUAUUCAAU
rnacentral:rRNA from 1 species